rnacentral:pre_miRNA from 1 species
UGUGGAGAGGGGAGUGAGGGUACCGUGUGCUAUUGGGUAACCCUUCCUACUCUCACAUU